rnacentral:misc_RNA from 1 species
GGGGGCAAUGGCCCAAGGGAUGAUUACAUAGAUAGCCCCUAGAAGUAAUAAUGUUAACCUGAACUAGAAACAGCUUCCUGACAAUUUUCCAAUUCAAAAGCUCUCUCUUCAUCUUCAGGAAAACUAGGGAAUCAAACCAAGCACCUUGAACAUGAGUUGAUCAGCAUCAAAAUCAUUGUUGGGAGUUGUCAAUAACUUCUCCCCAGUAAAGAUAGAAUUUGCACCAGCGAGAAAGCAGAGG